rnacentral:rRNA from 1 species
AUUGAACGCUGGCGGCAGGCUUAACACAUGCAAGUCGAGCGGAGAUGAGGUGCUUGCACCUUAUCUUAGCGGCGGACGGGUGAGUAAUGCUUAGGAAUCUGCCUAUUAGUGGGGGACAACAUUCCGAAAGGAAUGCUAAUACCGCCUACGUCCUACGGGAGAAAGCAGGGGAUCUUCGGACCUUGCGCUAAUACAUGAGCCUAAGUCGGAUUAGCGAGUUGGUGGGGUAAAGGCCUACCAAGGCGACGAUCUGUAGCGGGUCUGAGAGGAUCAUCCGCCACACGGGGACUGAGACACGGCCCAGACUCCGACGGGAGGCAGCAGUGGGGAAUAUUGGACAAGGGGGGGAACCCUGAUCCAGCCAUGCCGCGUGUGUGAAGAAGGCCUUAUGGUUGUAAAGCACUUUAAGCGAGGAGGAGGCUACUGAGACUAAUACUCUUGGAUAGUGGACGUUACUCGCAGAAUAAGCACCGGCUAACUCUGUGCCAGCCGCCGCGGUAAAAC